rnacentral:sRNA from 1 species
CUUUGGGAUUUGUCCAAAGGACCAAGCUUUUAUUCUGUAGUUUUUCUUUGUGU